GUAAAUAUUUCUGACGGAAUAGACCAGUCUGUUCAGCGCCGUGAUGAGAAGUUUAAUGUCAGUGGCUUUGAGGGAAAGAACUCAGGUCAGACUAUGAAAGAUCCUGCUAUGCAGAGAAAGGAAGGAUCGAGUGGUAGACCAAAAGGUACAAUGCUUGAGAAGGCCAUCAGGGAUUUGGAGAAGAUCGUUGCAGAAUUAAGGCCACCAAAUAUGGAGGUUCAGGAUGCUGAUAAUUCAUCUCAGGCUAUCAAAAGGAGGUUACCACUUGAAAUAAAGCAGAGGCUGGCAAAAGUUGCCCGACUGGCGCAAGCUAGUCAUGGAAAAAUAUCCAAUGAGUUAAUUAGUCGUUUAAUGAGUAUUGUCGGCCACUUGAUACAGCUUCGCACAUUGAAGCGGAACUUGAAAAUCAUGGUCAAUAUGGGGCUGUCAGC
rnacentral:misc_RNA from 1 species